rnacentral:sRNA from 1 species
CUGUUCGGCGGGCACCUCAGCACCCUCAGAUUGAGCUUCCCCAACCUCUUUAAGCUCCAAGCACUGUCCGAACCGCUCCACUGUGCCCACAGUUCCUGGCCUGGAACAGCCCACCCCUCACCUCCGAGUUUGUGGCACUCCUCCCAGCCCUGGUGGACGCUGGCACAGCCCUGGAGAUGCUGCACGCGCUGCUGGACCUGCCCUGCUUGACGGCGGUGCUGGACCUGCAGCUCAGGUCAUCACCGGCUCCAUCCGAGAGGCCGCUCUGGGACACCUCUCUCAGGGCCCCCAGCUGCCUGGAGGCCUUCCGGGACCCGCAGUUCCAGGGUCUUUUCCAAUACCUGCUGCGCCCCAAGGCCAGCGGCACCACUGAGAGGUUGGCGCCGCUCCACCAGCUGUUGCAGCCCAUGGCCGGCUGUGCCCGCGUGGUCCAGUGUGCCGAGGCCGUGCCCACGCUGCUGCAGGCAUUCUUCUCAGCAGUGACCCAGGUGAGCUCGCCGCCUGGGGCCCCCCAUUCCCACGGGCCUCACAACCGAGGGGUAGGCCAGAGCCAGUGCUGUGGGGUCCCCCUGAGUU